ensembl:lncRNA
GUAGGUGUUUGCCUUUUGACUGAGACCAUCUAUAAACAAGGCUGGGAUCCCAGGUCUGGCUCUGGGGCAGGGGAGCUCCAGGCCCUCGCCCUGGCAGCACAGUGAGGGAGGGACUCGCGGCUUUCAGCACCUCUUAAAUCAUCCCAGAGGGAGAGCCACUUACUUCCGCACGCACAGGCUGCCGCCGGCUCUGUCACAAGAAGAUGAACUACAAGUAAUAAAAUCAAGAUGAAGUUCUAUGUAAAUCUUUCCAGCUCACAAAGAUUGUAGAAAGUUGGAGAUGAAAAGGAUAUUAAAGACCUUCUAGUUCUACCUCGUCAUUCUGCAGCUGUAAAAACUGAGGCCCAGGGAGGUGUAUGGACUAACCCAUCAUCACACAGCUGCUCUGCGGCAGGAGUUGCACCAGCUUUCCGUGGCAUCCUUGCCAGUCCACUAGUCUAUAGCAUCUUUUGACUUUUGAAAACAGUGGAAGAGAAAUCAGUCCUCCAGCAUCUUCACUUCCCUCUGUUUAUUAUUUCCAGCUGCUAAAAAUGGGCACUUUUAAAAGUCGGUCGCCCUGCCAGUCAUUGAGGGUCAGUGCUCUGAGGAAUGCUGGUUUGCAGGAGUGGUGAAUAGGCCAGUGAUGGGAAGCGUAAUUGCCAGCCUCCUCCCUGGCACCUGGGGAUUGCUGUCAUUCAAGUCCCUGGGCGUGUGCCCUCAGCAAAUACUAACCCACAGAGUCAAUUGCUAACUCCAGUCAUCUGUACAUUUGCCCUCCAGGGAUGGAAAGCAGGAGGAAACGCCAUUUCCUAAUCUAGUUGGCCUUGGAUGGAAACGUGUUUUGGCCGGAUGGAAGCCUUCAGUGAGUCGAUGAUGCGUAUUUAGGACCUACAAUCAAUCCUCUCCAGGAUCUUUUACAGGACCCGGCUGUAGCGAAAAACUCACCAAUGCUUCUGGCUUUGCCUUUGCUUUAGUUGAGAGCUUUUGGUUGCAAGGAAUCAACUUGAGCUGGCUUAAUUAUUAAGGGAAAUAUGUGGUGAGGCAGUAUCUCAUGAAGCCCAAGGACAGAUGGCUACGAGGAAGCCAGGAAGCAGGCCUUCUCCAGCCUUCGCCUCUGCUCCACGUCUCUCUGCAAUCAACUCUCCUUCCUUCUUCUCUCUGGGCAGCUGAGUGGAAGAGGAUCCCUCACAACUGCCGGGUUUACACCCUCCCUACUGAAGAGGUCGGUCCCGGGUAGCUGGCUGUGCUCAAUCCGAGGCCACAUUCCCACGAGAGAGAAUGCGGUUGGCUCAGCCUGGGUCAGGUGCACAACCUGAUCCGGUCAAGGGUGGCCCCAAACAGGGUGCCCUGAGACAGGCAAGGCGGGGCGCUCACCCGCCUGGAUGACUGAAGGGCAGUUCUCCCAGACAGAAAAAUGACAUGCAGUGGGCUGGCACUGAAAAAGUGCGACUCUCAUAGGCUUCAGUCAAAUUAGUUAUUGACAGAGAAAAAGUGGAUGGUCCGGGUGGGAGUUCUGAGGAACAGUUCAGACACUCUGAGACCUUGAUGAUUUGCCUCAUUUCUUGAGUGAUAAAUUGCCUGUCAUGGAGCUGUAGCUGUUUAGAGAGCAGGCCCUGCACUUGAACCCCAUUCUCUGGGCUCUGUGAAGAAGGCCCAUUCAGACAACCUGAGGAUUUUCUUAACCUUUCAAGUGACUAUAUUAUAUAUUUUCAUCCUGUUGAGGUGCGUUAGCUAGAUAGAUACUGAAAAUGAAAUGAAAGUGUACUUUCAAACUUGUAUGUGUUGCUUUUUAUGUGUGUGUAGAUAGAUAGAUAGAUGGAUAGACAGAUAUUCCUAUACUUUUAAACACUUAACCUCUUUCCAGAAAGGACUGGCAGCAUCUUCUAAUGAAAACGCAGAAGAAGUACGGCCAAAAACCAUUAACACUAAAAAGGAAGGAAAAGCCCAGUAGCAAUCAGGCAGCAGCUGAGCAGCGUGACAGGUGAUGGACAGGAGGGUCAGGGUGGGAAGAAACUCGGGGAGAAUAGUUCAAGAGUUCAAUAUGCAAAAGAAAACAACACAAUAACCGGUUACCUAAAAUGGAAUAUGAGAGGCCUCAGAUGAUAUUCAUAGAAACAGUAUGUCCAGAAUAAAGGAGGGGAUGGUCCUGCUCUACUCUGCAAGUUAGGCCUCACCUGGAAGAUUGGAGGCAAUUCUGGGUUACUCCCUUAUACAGAGGUAGUAACCAGCUAAAAUAUAGAGAGAAUACAGCAACUCAGAUGGAAAGGGUCUUGAAGUCAUGUCACAUCCCUGCUCUCAAUCCUGCAGAGUGUAGCCCUGUCAAGGCCACUUGACCCCGGGCUCCCUCUCACACCUCCUUUCCUGCCUCUCUCCCCUUCCUGUCACCGCUCCUGCAUGCUGGCCUCCCCAAUAUUCCACAGACAUCCAGCAUUGCUCACAGAGGGCUGUUGCCCUCUCCUGCAGUCACACGGCUCAUCUCCUCAGUGGGUCAGGGCUUUGCUGAUACCUCGCCUCCUCACUGGGACGCCCCUGGCCUCCCAACCUACAGCAGCACCCCAUUUCCCAGUCUCUUAACUCGCUUUCCUGGCAGUGUCCUAUC